rnacentral:rRNA from 1 species
ACGGGAGGCAGCAGUGGGGAAUAUUGGACAAUGGGGGAAACCCUGAUCCAGCGACGCCGCGUGAGUGAAGAAGUAUUUCGGUAUGUAAAGCUCUAUCAGUAGGGAAGAUAAUGACGGUACCUAACUAAGAAGCUCCGGCUAAAUACGUGCCAGCAGCCGCGGUAAUACGUACGGAGCAAGCGUUAUCCGGAUUUACUGGGUGUAAAGGGAGCGUAGACGGCAUGGCAAGUCUGAUGUGAAAUCCCCGGGCUCAACCCGGGAACUGCAUUGGAAACUGUUAAGCUAGAGUGCAGGAGAGGUAAGUGGAAUUCCUAGUGUAGCGGUGAAAUGCGUAGAUAUUAGGAGGAACACCAGUGGCGAAGGCGGCUUACUGGACUGUAACUGACGUUGAGGCUCGAAAGCGUGGGGAGCAAACAGGAUUAGAUACCCUGGUA